UACGUAGGGACCAAGCGUUGUUCGGAUUUACUGGGCGUAAAGGGCGCGUAGGCGGCUUAACAAGUCACUUGUGAAAUCUCCGGGCUUAACUCGGAACGGCCAAGUGAAACUGUCAAGCUAGAGUGCAGAAGGGGCAAUCGGAAUUCUUGGUGUAGCGGUGAAAUGCGUAGAUAUCAAGAGGAACACCUGAGGUGAAGACGGGUUGCUGGGCUGACACUGACGCUGAGGCGCGAAAGCCAGGGAGCAAACGGG
rnacentral:rRNA from 1 species